rnacentral:rRNA from 1 species
AUCGAACGCUGGCGGCAGGCUUAACACAUGCAAGUCGAGCGGGGGAAGGUAGCUUGCUACUGGACCUAGCGGCGGACGGGUGAGUAAGGCUUAGGAAUCUGCCUAUUAGUGGGGGACAACAUCUCGAAAGGGAUGCUAAUACCGCAUACGUCCUACGGGAGAAACCAGGGGAUCUUCGGACCUUGCGCUAAUAGAUGAGCCUAAGUCGUAUUAGCUGGUUGGUGGGGUAAAGGCCAACCAAGGCGACGAUCUGUAGCGGGUCUGAGAGGAUGAUCCGCCACACUGGGGCUGAGACACGGACCAGACUCCUACGGGAGGCAGCAGUGGGGAAUAUUGGACAAUGGGGGGAACCCUGAUCCAGCAAUGCCGCGUGUGUGAAGAAGGCCUUAUGGUUGUAAAGCACUUUAAGCGAGGAGGAGGCUACUUUAGUUAAUACCUAGAGAUAGUGGACGUUACUCGCAGAAUAAGCACCGGCUAACUCUGUGCCAGCAGCCGCGGUAA